CUUUCAACAACGGAUCUCUUGGUUCUGGCAUCGAUGAAGAACGCAGCGAAAUGCGAUAAGUAAUGUGAAUUGCAGAAUUCAGUGAAUCAUCGAAUCUUUGAACGCACAUUGCGCCCCUUGGUAUUCCGAGGGGCAUGCCUGUUCGAGCGUCAUUAUA
rnacentral:rRNA from 2 species